ACAUAUAUGCCUUUUCUUUUGUUUCUCUGGGCAGGGAAUGGUCAUAGAAGAGCAGCAGUGUUGAGGCUGGCAGGGGCCUCGGGAGAUCGUCCGCUCCAACGCCCAGCCCACAGCAGGGUCAGCAGAGCAGUUGGGUUGUGAAUACGUCCGAAGAUGGAGACUCCACAACCACACUGAACCACCUAUUGAUGGAUGUGACUCGGGUUUUCCGAAGCCGAGGCGUUUCUGCAGGUCAGGUGCUGCCGCCGCUUGUGUUASGGCCACGCGCAGGAGAUGCAGCCGGGACCAAGUGCUUUUGAUCACGGAAUGUUGUCUGAAGAUCAGCUGGAACCUCYCCAAACUGAACUGCCAAUGUGUUCAUCCCUGCUGAGCGGGUGAGUUAAUUCUCCUAACAGCRGAAAUCUGUCUAUGACU
rnacentral:lncRNA from 1 species